UACGUAGGGGGCGAGCGUUGUCCGGAGUUACUGGGCGUAAAGCGCACGCAGGUGGUUUCUUAAGUCUGAUGUGAAAGCCCACGGCUCAACCGUGGAGGGUCAUUGGAAACUGGGAGACUUGAGUGCAGAAGAGGAAAGUGGAAUUCCAUGUGUAGCGGUGAAAUGCGUAGAGAUAUGGAGGAACACCAGUGGCGAAGGCGACUUUCUGGUCUGUAACUGACACUGAGGCGCGAAAGCGUGGGGAGCAAACAGG
rnacentral:rRNA from 1 species